ACGGAGGCCAACACUUGCUUAGCCGGCGUCACUAUUCAUAUCAAGAUUUUUGAAUAUGCUCUUCAAUCUGCUUCUCCGCCUUCUAAUUCUGGCACCACCGUUGUGUUGUCGCAGGCUGUCUUUGCCGCCAUCACCAACUCCUCCUCCACUGCUCCUUCCACCAAUAUUGAAUUUCAACAGGUUUGAUCUCAAUGAUAGUAGAAGAUAAGAUACAAGAUUUUUGAGUUUUGAAAAAGGUUUGCGAACACUCAAUGUCUUUAAGUCAACGAAUCCUUUCUCUUUAUGCGGGUAUAACUGAUACUACAAAGAUUUCAAGAAACAAUCUAAAAUCUCUCCGACAUUCUUUUUAUGGAUACGGCCAUUGGAAGAUAAUGGCUAAAUUUUAUCAUAUUGAAGUUGUAAGAGAAUUUUUAAAAUAUUUUUUUAGCUUCUUUGCAUUACUGUUUUUUUUUUGGGCGUAUUUUGAUUGAACCGAAAUAUUUCUAUAUAUUAAAUUUUCAUAAUGGCUAAUGAAAGUAUUCAUGUAUAUUAUGGCAAGAAAGAAUAUGUUUCCAAUCUGUAACGCAUCCUAUAUCAUUUGUAUGGCGUAACAAUUUGUGCUAUUUUAUUUC